rnacentral:rRNA from 1 species
UACGAAGGGGGCUAGCGUUGCUCGGAAUUACUGGGCGUAAAGGGCGCGUAGGCGGACAGUUUAGUCAGAGGUGAAAGCCCAGGGCUCAACCUUGGAAUUGCCUUUGAUACUGGCUGUCUUGAGUUCGGGAGAGGUGAGUGGAAUGCCGAGUGUAGAGGUGAAAUUCGUAGAUAUUCGGCGGAACACCAGUGGCGAAGGCGGCCC